rnacentral:rRNA from 1 species
GGACCCGCACAAGCGGUGGAGCAUGUGGUUCAAUUCGAUGCAACGCGAAGAACCUUACCUGGCCUUGACAUCCUCGGAACUUGGCAGAAAUGCCUUGGUGCCUUCGGGAACCGAGAGACAGGUGCUGCAUGGCUGUCGUCAGCUCGUGUCGUGAGAUGUUGGGUUAAGUCCCGCAACGAGCGCAACCCUUGUCCUUAGUUGCCAGCACUUCGGGUGGGCACUCUAAGGAGACCGCCGGUGACAAACCGGAGGAAGGUGGGGAUGACGUCAAGUCAUCAUGGCCUUUAUGGCCAGGGCUACACACGUGCUACAAUGGCCGGUACAGAGGGCAGCCAACCCGCAAGGGGGAGCUAAUCCCACAAAGCCGGUCGUAGUCCGGAUCGGAGUCUGCAACUCGACUCCGUGAAGUCGGAAUCGCUAGUAAUCGCGAAUCAGCAUUGUCGCGGUGAAUACGUUCCCGGGUCUU